ACAUACCUAUACGUUGCCUCGGCGGAUCAGCCCGCGCCCCGUAAAACGGGACGGCCCGCCCGAGGACCCCUAAACUCUGUUUUUAGUGGAACUUCUGAGUAAAACAAACAAAUAAAUCAAAACUUUCAACAACGGAUCUCUUGGUUCUGGCAUCGAUGAAGAACGCAGCAAAAUGCGAUAAGUAAUGUGAAUUGCAGAAUUCAGUGAAUCAUCGAAUCUUUGAACGCACAUUGCGCCCGCCAGUAUUCUGGCGGGCAUGCCUGUUCGAGCGUCAUUUCAACCCUCAAGCUCAGCUUGGUGUUGGGACUCGCGGUAACCCGCGUUCCCCAAAUCGAUUGGCGGUCACGUCGAGCUUCCAUAGCGUAGUAAUCAUACACCUCGUUACUGGUAAUCGUCGCGGCCACGCCGUAAAACCCCAACUUCUGAAUGUUGACCUCGGAUCAGGUAGGAAUACCCGCUGAACUUAAGCAUAUCAUAAG
rnacentral:rRNA from 1 species